rnacentral:rRNA from 1 species
UACAGAGACUGCAAGCGUUAUUCGGAUUCACUGGGCGUAAAGGGUGCGCAGGCGGCCAGGUGUGUUAGGCGUGAAAGCCCGGGGCUUAACCCCGGAAUUGCACCUAAAACUACUUGGCUAGAGCAUUUGAGAGGGUAGCGGAAUUCACGGUGUAGCAGUGAAAUGCGUAGAUAUCGUGAGGAACACCAGAGGCGAAGGCGGCUACCUGGACAAUUGCUGACGCUCAGGCACGAAAGCGUGGGGAGCAAAAGGG